GACGAACGCUGGCGGCGUGCUUAACACAUGCAAGUCGAACGAUGAAGAAGAGAAACGCGAACUUCGGUUCAAAUUUCACUUCGGAUUAGUGGCAGACGGGUGAGUAACGCGUGAGCAACCUACCUCUUACAAAGGGAUAGCCUCGGGAAACCGUGAUUAAUACCAUAUGACACAUUCAUAAGGCAUCUUAAGAAUGUUAAAGCUACGGCGGUAAGAGAUGGGCUCGCGUCCCAUUAGCUAGUUGGUGAGGUAACGGCCCACCAAGGCGACGAUGGGUAACCGGCCUGAGAGGGUGAACGGUCACAUUGGUACUGAGACACGGUCCAAACUCCUACGGGAGGCAGCAGUGGGGAAUAUUGCACAAUGGAGGGAACUCUGAUGCAGCGACGCCGCGUGAGCGAUGAAGGAAUUCGUUUCGUAAAGCUCUGUUCUAUGGGAAGAAAAGGACUGUACCAUAGGAGAAAGCCCCGGCUAAAUACGUG
rnacentral:rRNA from 1 species